CGUCUUUCUCUUUGAUAACAACAUUUUCCCAUGAAGAAUCCGCCGCGCCACUUUCCUCUUCAAGCACAUCACAACCACGAGUGCAGGGUAACAUGUUGGUUGUCCAAUACCAAAAAUGCAAGAAGUUCAUGAAGUUGCAGCCUGUGUUCUCUUAUGGAGAUGUCAUCAAUCAAGGUGAAUAUAUGAACUCUCUGAUGUAUUUUCUUAAUUGUACCCUUGUGCUUGAUUUGGGUCAGACCUAUUCUGUUGCCACCUUGGUGAUGUAUCUCUCUGUAUUCUGUUUAGUCUCUCUUUUUGAAGUCCAAAAUAGAUUUGGACUGCCCUCUGCAGCACAAAUGCACAUUUUUGAUGAUUCCCAAACUGAGGUUGAGGAGGAUGUCCUGCUGGACCUGAUUGAGGCCAUUCCAGACCUCACAAUCAAAGAUCUUGAUGAAGGAUAAUUACAAGAUUUAAACCACGAGAGGGGGACUGUCAUGACUCUCGCUCCUGGGUGAGGAUCAAAUACAGCCCCCACCCCCUCUCUCCCACCAGAGAGGAAGGGGGGGAAGUUGGGCUGGUUUUAUGUCUUAAUGACCGGUCGUAAACGUUCUCUCUCUUGCCGUUGCAGUAUUGAGAAUGGAAUGUCUGAGUGUUACAACAGAGAAAGACUGCAAUACUUAAACAUCAGAAGAUUG
ensembl:lncRNA